UUUUCUUCGAAUCCGCACUUUAACCUACAAUAUCUGUUCUUUCUUCUUCUUCCCCAUCGAUCACGAUUCCUCCUGUACCUACCUCUACUUAUGUAUCUCUUCCCCAUCGGUGAUGAUUUCUAUUUGUUUAAUCGCCAGUCUCUACACCGACAUGGUUUUGACACCAGAAAAUUCCCUAAUAACAUCAUAUCAUUGGAGAUGCGACCUUCAACUUUGAAAAUCAGACCGUAUCCUUCAAGAUUCGACCUUCGUCUUCAUCAGGUCGAGAAUUGGUUCGUUUGAAAAUCAGACGACAUCUUGGAGACGAUAAACCUUUGAAAGAGAUAAAGAGGUGCAAACAAACCAUUACCUGGCUUCAACUAUAUUAUCGAAAAUAUGGCACAAGGAGAAAGGCCAAUGUAGAUGGUUAUCAAAAAAAAUAUAAAGUGGUGAAGCUACUUCUGGGAAAAAGAGAGGGAGAAAGAGAUAUAAGAGAGAAGAUGAGGAGUAUAAAAAUGGUUAUGGGUCUUCUGGUUUUAAAGUAGGUAAAAACCACCACUGAUCCGUGUGAAAUGUUUGUUUGUUUAAAAUCCAUCCUUUGAUUCAUCCUCUUAAUGUUAAGAUGUAAUAUCCUCCAUUGGAUUAGAUAGUAACAUAGGGGAAAGGCUAUAAGAUAACAAUCUUGGGGAAGUGUUGUAUUGUCAAACAAAUCACCUUUUCUGUUAAGCUUUUAUUUUUUUUUUGUAUUAUAUUUAUAUGUAUGUAUUGUAUGCUAUAUAAUGAUAUCUUGUAUACUUAUCCAUGUUUUUAUUUUCUUUUUA